rnacentral:lncRNA from 10 species
UUUGGGAGAAAAACUCCUGACGGUGCUGAUGUCCAAUGAAAUGAGACUGGGUUCUGGAAGAAUUUGAUAAGUAGGUAAGGAGGAGAAAAGAAAGAAGGAAAAAUUGGAAAGAUAAAUGGGGUCUUUCCAGUGAAGCUGCAGUUAUGGCAUUAACCACCCAGUUGUUACCUACUUCUAGAUGAAAGCUCAAUUUUCCUACAUAAUUAAGAGUUUGGAAUUCGGGCAAUAUCAAGAACCACAUCUGUCCUGAAAUCAAUUAUCUCUGUUUGAAACACAAGAAAUAAGAAGACCAUUUUGAGAAGAACAGAGAGUAGCCUUAAGAAAAUCCCUGUCGCAAGCACUCUGGGAUUUGGACUCAAAUGCUAAUUAUACAGAACCACUUGGGUGCCCAGCUGCUGUCCAUUCUCUACACUUAUCCCACCUGAUGGAAGGCUGUUAAGAAAAACAUCACUGCAAUGCCUAAUAAACAGACAUGGGUCCCAGACCCAAUAAGAGUGAAACCAUCCCCCUAUUUAAAUGAAAUUAUGGCUGAUGAGAAAGACAAAUUAAUUUCUCUGUCCCUAGUAUUACACAAAACUUUGGAUGCUGCCAUUGUUACAAUUUUAUUUUCCCCAGGAGCUCAGAGUCCCACCUUCAUUCUUUUUGUUUAAUGCUUAAGCUUGCCUGUCCACCUAUGGAAGACUAGAAUGAGCAAAGACCAUGUAUUCAAUGAUCUGUAAAUCUAACAGGAAACAAUAUAAUAAAUAUAUUGUGUUUGCUAACCAAAUCUGUGAAUGAUUAGAUCGACUGGUUAAUGAUUAGAUGGAUUAACACAUCAUUUCUAUUUUCUCUCUCCUCCCCUACUUCUUGUUUUAAUGAUACCUUCCAAGUUUUAUUUCUCCAAGCCUAACCCCUUACAUAAUACAAGAGGACAACAGUUUGCAAAAUAAAUAUCUGUUGGCCCUAACUGGUAAAUACUGAAAUAGAUUUCAAGUAAUGUGAGUGUUUUUGAAACCACCUAAAUCUGUAAGCCACCCUGCAAGGAACAAGGGUAGCAAAGUGAAUAAGCCAGACAUGUAAAAAUAAAGAUGACAAAAUGGAAGGCAAUUAAUGCCUGUAAUGGAGGUGGGGAAGGGGGGAAUGACAAGUUAAUAAGAAAUUUAUUUUUAAAUGCUAUCAUCUGCCAUAAAAUAUCCAUGCUUAUUUUAGAAAAUAUGUAAAAUGUUUAAGAAUUAAACAUCUUUAAAAAAAUCACAUGAACUCAUCACCCUGCAACAAAACACACACAGAUGAGUGCACACACUUAAACACACAUUAAUUUUCAAUUAGUAUAUAAAGUUAAUAUCCUGCUAAGUACAAGAUACUAUAUCAUGAGCACUUUGUCUC